UUGAGCGACGAGGGCUUUUGUGUGUGUGUGUGUGUGUGUGUGUGUAUAUGUGUGUGUGUGUGUGUGUGUGUCUCGUGGAUCGCCAGUCACACACGCGCUUAUUCACGUUUCCUGUGGCUUUUUUCGGUGCUGAAGAAAAAGAGCGUCGGUUGAGGCGUUUAUCUGUGCAGGUGCCGCUCCGUGGGAGAAAUUAUUAUUAUUAAUAAUAAUAAUAAUAAUCAUAUCGAGGAAUGGCUGCUGAAGUGAAUGGCAGCUCUGCUCCUGCAAAAGAAGAAGAGGAGCCUAUGGACGUCUCAGCAGCGCACACAGAGAACUACCAGACUCUCAUUGAUGCUGGACUUCCUCAGAAAGUAGCUGAGAGCUUGGACAACAUCUUCCAGACUGGUUUGGUGGCCUAUGCUGACCUUGAUGAGAGAGCGAUCGAUGCUCUGCGUGAGUUUAAUGAAGAAGGAGCUCUGUCUGUAUUGCAACAGUUUAAAGAGAGUGACCUGUCUCAUGUCCAGAAUAAGAGCGCUUUCCUGUGUGGUGUCAUGAAGACCUACAGACAGAGAGAAAAGCAAGGCAGCAAAAUACAGGAAUCCACAAAAGGCCCUGAUGAGUCCAAAAUAAAGGCUUUGCUUGAGAGGACAGGAUAUACCCUGGAUGUCACUACAGGCCAGAGGAAAUAUGGCGGCCCACCCCCAGAGGCAGUUUUCUCAGGCACGCAGCCUGGUAUUGGCACCGAGGUGUUUGUAGGAAAAAUUCCUCGGGACUUGUAUGAAGAUGAGCUGGUUCCGCUGUUUGAGAAGGCAGGGCCCAUAUGGGACCUGAGGUUAAUGAUGGACCCUCUUUCCGGACAGAACCGCGGCUAUGCGUUCAUCACCUUCUGCAGCAAAGAUGCUGCACAGGAGGCUGUCAAACUGUGUGAUAAUUAUGAGAUCAGGCCAGGGAAGUAUUUGGGUGUCUGCAUCUCGGUAGCCAACAACCGACUGUUUGUGGGCUCCAUUCCAAAGAACAAGACCAGGGAGAGCAUCCUGGAGGACUUUGGCAAAGUGACAGAGGGUCUACAGGAAGUGAUUCUGUACACGCAAGCCGAUGACAAGAAGAAGAACCGAGGUUUCUGUUUCCUAGAGUAUGAGGACCACAAGUCAGCAGCACAGGCCCGUCGUCGACUCAUGAGCGGCAAAAUUAAGGUGUGGGGCAACCCCGUGACUGUGGAGUGGGCUGACCCGGUCGCUGAGCCUGACCCUGAGGUCAUGGCCAAGGUGAAGGUGCUGUUUGUCCGUAAACUAGCCACUUCUGUCACAGAGGAGCUGUUAGAGAAGACCUUCUCCCAGUUUGGGAAACUGGAACGUGUUAAGAAACUGAAAGACUAUGCCUUCGUUCACUUUGAGGAGCGGGAUGCUGCUGUUAAGGCCAUGGAAGAGAUGAAUGGGAAAGAGCUUGGGGGAGAGGAGAUUGAGAUUGUCCUGGCUAAGCCUCCAGAUAAGAAGAGGAAAGAGCGGCAAGCUGCCCGACAGACCAGCAGAAACACAGGUUAUGAUGAUUAUUACUACUACCCCCCACCUCGCAUGCCACCCCCGGGCCGUGGGCGUGGCCGAGGUGGUCGUGGCGGUUAUUCUUACCCACCCGAUUACUACGGCUAUGAAGAAUACUACGACGACUACUACGGCUACGAUUACCAUGACUACCGUGGUGGCUAUGAUGAUCCCUACUAUGGCUAUGAAGAAGUGUACCCAAUAAGGGGACGCGGCAACCGCGGGAGCCGUGGAGCUCCGCCCCCUCCCAGAGCACGCGGGGUUCCCCCGGCUCGCGGCAGAGGUGGCUAUGCGCCGAGGGGAGGUGCUCCCAUGGGGGCAGGCCGAGGAGGACGUGGAGGAGGAAGAGGUGGCCCUUUUCAAUCGCCCAGGGGUGGACGUGGCACCAGGGGUGCCCGUGGGAACCGCGGCGGCAAUGUAGGCGGAAAGAGAAAGGCAGACGUGUUUAACCAACCGGAUUCAAAACGACGCCAGACGACCAAUCAGCAGAACUGGGGGUCGCAGCCAAUCGCUCAGCAGCCGCUACAGCAAGGGGGCGACUACUCCAGCAACUACUACAGCAACGACACCCUGGAGUUCUCCCAGGAUUCCUAUGGGCAGCAGUGGAAGUAGACGACACACACAUCACCCCCCGUAAAAAAGGUAUCGGAGCGAGAGAGAGCCGUUGCUAGCUUGAGGAACACACCAGAACUGUGUUCUUCUCCAGCAGGGGAAAACUACGGAGUUCUCCAACAGUGGGACACUGUGUGCUGCAUCUAUCCACUUUAUAUCAGGAGCCAAGUGUUUCCUUGUGGGUCCCAACCUCGUACCUGAGUAGUCCCUGGCUUUUCAGAGACAUCAAGCUGCACGGAACUUCUCUCCUUGUGUCUUUGUGUUUGUAUGUGUGUGUGCACACCUGAUUUUUCUGCUCAUCGGGUUCACCCUGCUGCACAGUUACAAAGCCCAGAGAGAUAACAGCAGGCUGUGGUGCUGAAGAUGAUGAGGCCUGUGUUGCAUGUCUCACGGGAGCAGUAGAGAGUAUCUACAGAAACGGGCAGGUGUCAGAGGAAACUAAAGGAUGCCCACACGGACAUGGGGAGAACAUGCGAAACUCUGCACAGACAGUUUCUUAGUAAUGUGACCGUGUCUAUUGUUCAGUGCGCUAUACAAACAAAAUAGAAUUGGAAAUUGAAUUAACACGAUUUGCAUCAUUUUAGGGGGUGCCGAGUUAUGUGCCCCCCCUAAUGCUUGGCUCAAGACUUUAAGACCCCAUUAUCAAAUACUUUCAUUAAAUCACGUCAAACUCAGGACAUGCGUUUUAUUAUAGCACGUGAACUUUUCACGUUAUCUAGAAUUCUCACUGUAAUGUAGCGUAGCAGACAUUUCCGUGCAAGAGCUCACAUCACACUUCUCACGGUGACAAAACUCUGUUUUGCGUAUGUUUUGUGUAUGAAAAUGAUUCAGCUAAACCUUGUUUUAGGAAUUACUUUCGGUGUCAUGAGGACGUAGAAAAAAAAAAAAUAAAACCUUGAUUGUUUCGUGAUCAUUUUUAAGGCACAGUCUACCAUCAACAAUCAAACAAUCUUGCUAUGUUAAGAACUUCAUAAAAUACCUUUAACAAUUUCACAGAAAUGAUUAAAAUUGCAUGUUGAUAACAGGGGGAAAUGACACCUUAUAUCUUUUGAAUACUGAUCUCCUUUUUUUUUCCUCUUACUGAAAUAAACCUCCAGCAGGCUUCAUCUUUCACCUCAUUAUAGUGUUUUCAGAGUCUUCAUAAUUGAACAGUUAAUAACUUCAGCUUGAUAGGUGAGACUUAAAGUUAAAACGCAGUGAUGCUCAUAUCUAAGUUCCUGUUAACACACUUAGCAGUUUUUGACCAUAUAGUAUACAGUUAUAGAAGCGAAAUGAUUUAUAGUUGCACUAUCUACUGUAACCCAGAUGAGGAUGGGUUCCUCUCAAGGCUUCUUCCUUGUGUCGUCUCGGAGUUUUUCCUUCCCACCGUCACCUCUGUUUUGCUC